AAUUACAACUGGAUCAAGUGCAGAGGUGGAAGUGAGAUACACACACACUCGUUGCGUUUGCGACAGUAAAGAAGCAAUAAUGGUGAAGAGGUUCACACUGAUCCAAACCGUUGCAACCGCCGGGCUUUUCUCCGCCGUCUCCUUCUGGUAUGGGUUCAUGAUCGGCAGAGAAACUUCUCGGAAGGAGUUAGGUGAUCUUAUCGCAGAUCUUCGCCGUCAAAAUCCUGAUUCUAAUCCUCCACAAUCUUGAUUCGAGGUGCUUCGGGUUGAAGAUGGUAGCUUCAAGUAGGUUGAAUUUUGCAAAUGACUAAUAUCUUCUUGUGGCUGGGCUCUGCUACCAGCUAUUUGUGAGCUCAUUUCCCCAAAAGUGGAUCCUUGAAGGGCAAUUUGUAAUAAUUUGAAUCAUGGGUUUAUAUUGGAUUAGCCAAGUUGAUUCUGCAAAGCUAUUUGAUAGCAAUUUCAAACCUAAAUUCUUACACAAGUUAGGUGAUAGAGGUGAUUCUUAGACAUGUUUUUUUCCAGUCAUAUUUCAUGUCUGUGAAUCUGUGAUACCGCCACAUGUAGGGAUGGCAAAAAAGCCCAAGCCCGACGGGUAUAUCCGAAACCCGAAACAUACGGGCCGGGUAUACCCGAAGCCCAAUGGGUAUGGGCCGGGUACGGGCUUAAAAAUAGAAAAAUUCGGGUAUGGGUACGGGUAUGAGAUUUAGUGAUACCCGCCCGAUACUCGGCCCAUUUACCCGAAUAAUACCCGAAAGUAUCGUAUUAUAGAUUUCCAUAUAUAUAAACUUAGUACAUGUAUUUAUUACCUUCUCUAUAGUCAUAUGUGGGUAUGUGUUUGGCAAGUGUUUAGUGAACAUAUAACUUAUUUUUGAACAUGUAUAUUGGAUAUGAAAGCUAUUAUCUUUUAUUA